rnacentral:rRNA from 1 species
UACGAAGGGGGCUAGCGUUGCUCGGAAUCACUGGGCGUAAAGCGCACGUAGGCGGACUCUUAAGUCAGGGGUGAAAUCCUGGAGCUCAACUCCAGAACUGCCCUUGAUACUGGGAGCCUUGAGUUCGGGAGAGGUGAGUGGAACUGCGAGUGUAGAGGUGAAAUUCGUAGAUAUUCGCAAGAACACCAGUGGAGAAGGCGGCUCACUGGCCCGAUACUGACGCUGAGGUGCGAAAGCGUGGGGAGCAAACAGG